rnacentral:rRNA from 1 species
UACGGGGGGGGCAAGCGUUGUUCGGAAUUACUGGGCGUAAAGGCCAGUAGGCGGCCAACUAAGUCGGAUGUGAAAUCCCCAGGCUUAACCUGGGAACUGCAUCCGAUACUGGAUGGCUUGAAUUCGGGAGAGGGAUGCAGAAUUCCAGGUGUAGCGGUGAAAUGCGUAGAUAUCUGGAGGAAUACCGGUGGCGAAGGCGGCAUCCUGGACCGACAUUGACGCUGAACGGCGAAAGCUAGGGAGCAAAC